rnacentral:rRNA from 1 species
UACGUAGGGGGCAAGCGUUGUCCGGAUUUCUUGGGCGUAAAGAGCGUGUAGGCGGCCUGAAAGGUCAGCUGUGAAAACUCGAGGCUCAACCUCGAGACGUCGGUUGAAACCAUCUGGCUAGAGUCCGGAAGAGGAGUGUGGAAUUCCCGGUGUAGCGGUGAAAUGCGCAGAUAUCGGGAAGAACACCCGUGGCGAAGGCGGCACUCUGGGACGGUACUGACGCUGAGACGCGAAAGCGUGGGGAGCGAACAGG